rnacentral:rRNA from 1 species
CCUACGGGGGGCUGCAGUGGGGAAUAUUGGACAAUGGGGGCAACCCUGAUCCAGCCAUGCCGCGUGUGUGAAGAAGGCCCUCGGGUUGUAAAGCACUUUCAGUGAGGAAGGACGCCUGGUGGUUAAUACCCAUCAGGAAAGACAUCACUCACAGAAGAAGCACCGGCUAACUCCGUGCCAGCAGCCGCGGUAAUACGGAGGGUGCGAGCGUUAAUCGGAAUUACUGGGCGUAAAGCGCGCGUAGGUGGCUUGAUAAGCCGGUUGUGAAAGCCCCGGGCUCAACCUGGGAACGGCAUCCGGAACUGUCAAGCUAGAGUGCAGGAGAGGAAGGUAGAAUUCCCGGUGUAGCGGUGAAAUGCGUAGAGAUCGGGAGGAAUACCAGUGGCGAAGGCGGCCUUCUGGACUGACACUGACACUGAGGUGCGAAAGCGUGGGUAGCAAACAGGAUUAGAUACCCCGGUAGUC